rnacentral:lncRNA from 1 species
AUGGCUGGCAGGAGAAUUCAGCUUGCAUCGUCAAGGUCACCCCUAAUGAGGCGUCGCGAUGACCGGGGCCUGAGGCCAACUGUGCCGGGCCUGCCGCUGCCACAACCGGGCCUACCACCACCACAGCCGGGCCUGCCAUCGCCACAGCCGGGCAGCCUACCACCACCACAGCCGGGCAGCCUACCACCACCACAGCCGGGGCUUCCCUCACCACAGCCGGGCCUGCCACCGCCACAGCCGGGCAGCCUACCACCACCACAGCCGGGCCUGCCGCCGCCACAGCCAGGCCUUCCCUCACCACAGCUGGGCCUACCCUCACCACAGCCGGGCCUACCCUCACCACAGCCAGGCCUUCCCUCACCACAGCCGGGCCUGCCAUCGCCACAGCCGGGCAGCCUACCACCACCACAGCCGGGCCUUUCGUCACCCGCACCGGGCCUGCCACCGCCACAGCCGGGGCUUCCCUCACCACAGCCGGGCCUGCCGCCGCCACAGCCGGGCCUUCCCUCACCACAGCCGGGGCUUCCGUACCGGGCCUGCCGUCACCACAGCCGGGCCUGCCGCACCGGGCCUGCCGUCACCCGCAGCUGGCCUGCCGCCCCGGAGGCGACCGCGUCAGCUCACCGAAAGUCCCGCCCCGGAGAGGCGCAGGCUCCCGUUCUCCUCCCGAAAAAGCAGCUGCGGACCCGCACCCGUCCCACAACGGGUGGCCGACCCGACUCGUGUCCCGGCCGCUGGGCUCCACGCGGGCCUUCCGCGUGCGGAGCCGCCCCUCCUCAGAACGGGCCCAGGA